rfam:Melampsora larici-populina 98AG31 unplaced genomic scaffold MELLAscaffold_16, whole genome shotgun sequence.
GCCCGGCUAGCUCAGUUGGUAGAGCAUUCGACUCUUAUCAGAGUUCCAAGAUCGGCAUCGAAUUGUCGAGGGUUCGAGCCCCUCGUUGGGCG